UAGUAUGCAAACAAUCAGAAGUGAUUGCGAUCAUGACAUUAUAGCUGUCAUUCUACCACAAUCGA